rnacentral:rRNA from 1 species
UGGGGAAUAUUGGACAAUGGACCAAGAGUCUGAUCCAGCAAUUCUGUGUGCACGAUGAAGUUUUUCGGAAUGUAAAGUGCUUUCAGUUGGGAAGAAAGAAAUGACGGUACCAACAGAAGAAGUGACGGCUAAAUACGUGCCAGCAGCCGCGGUAAUACGUAUGUCACAAGCGUUAUCCGGAUUUAUUGGGCGUAAAGCGCGUCUAGGUGGUUAUGUAAGUCUGAUGUGAAAAUGCAGGGCUCAACUCUGUAUUGCGUUGGAAACUGUAUAACUAGAGUACUGGAGAGGUAAGCGGAACUACUAGUGUACAGAUGAAAUUCGUAGAUUUUUGUAGGAAUGCCGAUGGGGAAGCCAGCUUACUGGACAGAUACUGACGCUGAAGCGCGAAAGCGUGGGUAGCAAACCGGAUUAUAUACCCUGGUAGUCCAUGCCGUAUACGAUGAUUACUAGGUGUUGGGGGUCGAACCUCAGCGCCCAAGCAAACGCGAUAAGUAAUCCGCCUGGGGAGUACGUACGCUAGUAUG